CCUACGGGAGGCAGCAGUGAGGAAUAUUGGUCAAUGGACGAGAGUCUGAACCAGCCAAGUAGCGUGAAGGAUGACUGCCCUAUGGGUUGUAAACUUUUUUUAUAAAGGAAUAAAACGAGGCACGUGUGCCUUUUUGCAUGUACUUUAUGAAUAAGGAUCGGCUAACUCCGUGCCAGCAGCCGCGGUAAUACGGAGGAUCCGAGCGUUAUCCGGAUUUAUUGGGUUUAAAGGGAGCGUAGAUGGGUUGUUAAGUCAGUUGCGAAAGUUUGCGGCUCAACCGUAAAAUUGCAAUUGAUACUGGCAGUCUUGAGUACAGUUGAGGUAGGCGGAAUUCGUGGUGUAGCGGUGAAAUGCUGAGAUAUCACGAAGAACCCCGAUUGCGAAGGCAGCUUACUAAACUGUGACUGACAUUGAUGCUCGAAAGUGUGGGUAUCAAACAGGAUUAGAUACCCUGGUAGUC
rnacentral:rRNA from 1 species